UACAGAGGUCUCAAGCGUUGUUCGGAUUCAUUGGGCGUAAAGGGUGCGUAGGUGGCGAGGCAAGUCUGGUGUGAAAUCCCGGGGCUCAACCCCGGAACUGCACUGGAUACUACUUUGCUAGAGUACUGGAGAGGAGAUUGGAAUUUACGGUGUAGCAGUGAAAUGCGUAGAUAUCGUAAGGAAGACCAGUGGCGAAGACGAAUCUCUGGACAGUUACUGACACUGAGGCACGAAGGCCAGGGGAGCAAACGGG
rnacentral:rRNA from 1 species